UGGUGAAUGAAUGAAUGGCUGAGAGUUAGGAGGCAAAGCUGGCUCUACCACUAGCAGCUCCGAAUCUACCUCUGGGGUUUGAAAACCGUCCUGGAAUUGGGAGGAAGUGGAUGUCUAGUUCAUGGCCACCUUUGAUCCUACACUCUCAUCGGCAGCCACACACCCCUCUUUGCUAAUCUUCAGCCAGCAGGUCCAUCCACAUCUCUGCAAAUGACCCAAUUUCGUUCCAUUUUAUG